AUUGAACGCUGGCGGCAUGCCUUACACAUGCAAGUCGAGCGGAGCGGCGGACGGGUGAGUAAUGCCUAGGAAUCUGCCUGGUAGUGGGGGAUAACGUCCCGAAACGGGCGCUAAUACCGCAUACUCUAAAAUCAGCCUAGGUCGGAUUAGCUAGUUGGUGGGGUAACGGCCUACCAAGGCGCCGAUACGUAACUGGUCUGAGGGGAUGAUCAGUCACACUGGAACUGAGAGACGGUCCAGACUCCUACGGGAGGCAGCAGUGGGGAAUAUUGGACAAUGGGCGAAAGCCUGAUCCAGCCAUGCCGCGUGUGUGAAGAAGGUCUUCGGAUUGUAAAGCACUUUAAGUUGGGAGGCGUUACCAACAGAAUAAGCACCGGCUAACUUCGUGCCAGCAGCCGCGGUAAUUC
rnacentral:rRNA from 1 species